rfam:Schistosoma mansoni strain Puerto Rico chromosome 3, complete genome
AUCCAGCUGACGAGUUCCAAAUAGGACGAAACGCGCGUCCUGGAU